CCCGCACCCGCGCCCUCAACCCUCGUCCUCCCGCAUCCCAGCCCGCUCGCCCCAGCCCUCUCCCCGACCUCUCCCUCCACCAGACCUCGCAGCCCCGCCCACUUCGCCGCCACCAACGCCCCGCAGACCUCGCCGCCGCCGACGCCCCUCAGACCGCGCCGCCGUGGACCUCUCUCCUCGUCUCCCUCGCACCACGCCGCCCACAACCUCGACCUCUCGUCAUCAGAAGGGAAGGGAAGGGAAGGAAAGAGAAGAGGGAGAGUGAGCAGGUCAGGCGGCAGCCAAGGUGCUCGCAGAUUCGCCGGCGAUGUCGUCCGACCUUGGCCUCCGAGUGCUUGUGCUCUGCCUGCUCCGCGCCCACGCAAUGGCCUGCUCAGGAUGCCGCCCUCUCCCCUGCUCCAACCCUAAUCCCCUCCCCUCCCCUCCCCUCAAGCUGUUGCUCCUUUUGGUCACGCAGGUGCACGAACACGUCCCUGCUCCUCUGGUGGACAAGGUCGGUUCCGAUCUGGAUGAGUAGCAAUUGCUACAGGUGGACGAGGCACGAGCCCUCAUGGCUCCUCCUUCCUCCUACCCCCCCACCCCCCUGAACAUGAUUCCAGUUUCUAAUUAGCGGUCAAGGAGUAGAUAACUGCACAACUUUGGACAUGCAUGAGGCAGUGGUUGUUAAAAAGAUAGAUGACUGUAACAAAUAAUGUGUGAGAACAAGGAGCCAAAAAUAUUGGAAAACGACCAUAAGAUAGAUAACAGAUUCAGUGAUUUGGUUAUUAUGGAGGUUGAUGGAACUUGGUCUACUGUCGGAAUUCAGAGCCAUAAAGCAUUGGACUUGGACAAGAGCUCUUCCAUGGCAGCAACCAGCAGUCCAAGGCCAAGCUUCUCUUCUCCAUGGAUGAAUCUCAACUGGAAGCAGCAAGCUAUCUCAAGGGAGGGGAUUCUCAAGUCACCCCACUUCCAAUCCAUGGACGCUAUCCACAAGGACCAAGAUGACGACGACCAGGAAGGAAGGAGCCCACGCCCGACCCCGACGACGGCGGUUCCAUUUGUGUGCCGGCGUCGACCACAACCUCCCUCUCUAUAAUAUGAAUAGCGGGGGGCGUCUGAGCCUGCAGUCGGAGUAGCAGCUGACGUAACAUUUGCAGAACACCGACACGGCGUCAGCCACCUGCAGCUGCUGGGCAGACAACAGGACGACAAGGAGCACGCAGACAGCCACAACCUUCACUCUCUCCUUCUUCCCAGUCCCCUCCAUUGAUAAUGGAUUCUUCCUCUUGCCUGUGACAACUUUUGUUGGGUCGACGGCCCGUCUUUAUACCGAA